GAUGAACGCUAGCGGCAGGCCUAACACAUGCAAGUCGAGGGGUAACGGGGAAGCUUGCUUCCGCCGACGACCGGCGCACGGGUGCGGAACGCGUAUGGAACCUGCCCCUGUCAGGGGAAUAGCCCAGAGAAAUUUGGAUUAAUGCCCCAUGGUAUCGCGAAGACACAUGUUUUUGCGAUUAAAGAUUUAUCGGACAGGGAUGGCCAUGCGUACCAUUAGUUAGUUGGUGAGGUAACGGCUUACCAAGGCAGCGAUGGUUAGGGGCCCUGAGAGGGGGAUCCCCCACACUGGUACUGAGACACGGACCAG
rnacentral:rRNA from 1 species